GGCCGCAUGGCGCAGUGGUAGAGCGCUAGCAUUCGGGGAGAGAGGCCCGGGGUUCGAACCCACCUGAGGUUA